CAGCAGCCGCGGUAAUGCGGAGGGUGCGAGCGUUAAUCGGAAUUACUGGGCGUAAAGCGUACGCAGGCGGUUUGUUAAGUCAGAUGUGAAAUCCCCGGGCUCAACCUGGGAAUGGCAAUGGAUACUGGCAAGCUAGAGUGUGUCAGAGGAUGGUGGAAUUCCCGGUGUAGCGGUGAAAUGCGUAGAGAUCGGGAGGAACAUCAGUGGCGAAGGCGGCCAUCUGGGACAACACUGACGCUGAGGCACGAAAGCGUGGGGAGCAAACAGGAUUAGAUACCCGUGUAGUCCCUGUCUCUUAUAC
rnacentral:rRNA from 1 species